ensembl:lncRNA
GCCUCAGAUGGAAGGGAAGGGCAGGCACCCUCUUGAUAAUAAGGCAGCAGUUUAAGAAAGGGUUAAUUGUUGAGACUGGAGGGUUUAUUUGAAGGGGAAGGAGUUGGAGGAUGGGGAUACUGGAGGUGAUGUGGUCAUACAUUUAGAGCAUGGGCACUGAGAAUGAUCCUUGAGAGCUCAUCCAGACCAGAAAUUUAAAAAUGAUGCCUGAAGGAAUCCAUUCUAUCACCUUACUGCCUACUUUGGGGUCAGGACAAGAGACGGGGAGAGUAAUGUUUGAAAAGCUGGUUGGACACUCCGAGCCCCUUGCCUUUGGGAUGUGAAUUUGAGACUUGGUCUUCCUGUUCUCAAACUCCAGUGGCGUCACAGUGCUUGACCGUCUAUUCACUGAAAACAACAAACUUGGUCUGUAACAAAGGGACUCACAGGAGAGGAUCAGAGAGGUGGCACCAUGAUGAAGACUUGGUCCAACGAGGCUGGCUUUGAAGACAGAGAAAAGGGGAACGUAAGCCAAGGAAUAUGGGCAGCCUCUAGAAAUCGGAAAAGACAAACAUCUUCCACGAGGCCCUGCUGACACCUGAGUUUUAGCCCCAUGAGAACCAUUUCAGGCUUUUGACCUCCAGAACUAUAAGAUAAUAAAUUUACGUCAUUCUAAGCCACUGAGUUUGUUACAGCACCAGUAGGAAAUGAAUAAAUUAUUCAUGAUAACUCUUUAUUGAACUUCUGUCAUAUUUCAGGCACUGUGUUAAGUGUUUCACAUUUAUUACUUAAUACAUAUAAUAGUUCUAUAAAGCAGGGGUUCUUGUUCCCAUUUUCUAAAUUUAGAAAAUGGGACUCAGGGAAAUUUAGUGACUUGGCCAAGGUCACACAGCUAGUGUGUAGCAGAGCAAAGAUUCAAAGGCUAACACCUCUAGCUCUAAAUGCCAUGUACCAUCAGCUUGUCCAGGCUCACCUCUGCUUAUCUGGAGUGGCUUAGAGAGUACCUCCUCAGGGAAUCUUUGUUUUCAGAUGCCAGACCUCAGUGAUCUAGGCCAGGGGUCCCCAGCCUCUGGUCCCCAGUACCUCCUGUCGGAUCAGUAACAGCAUUAGCUUAAAGUGCAGUAUAAAAGUAACGUGCGUGAAUCACCCUGAAACCACCCCCACCACUUCCCAGUCUGUGAAAAAAUCGUCUUCCACGAAACCGGUCCACUAGGCCAAAAAGGCUGGGGACCACAGUUCCAGGCCGCCUCUUCAGUAUUUUGAGUCCAACUGUUCUCUCAGAGGCUUAGUUUCUUGUAAAAAGAGGGUCAUAAUGCUCAUUGGGUGCUCUUCUGGGCUAUGGCAAGAUUUAAACCAGAAUGUGGGUGGUAAAAUUCUCUGAACUGUUAAGUGUUCUCCAUGUAAGUAAUUCAG